rnacentral:lncRNA from 1 species
GAUAGGAGCGUAGGUGAUCGGAGGUAUUCUGAGAACUUCGGAUCGACCAUCGAGGAACAUUGACCGUGUCAUUUCCGGUUAUCUACGAUCGGGGAUGUCACACUCAUACACUCUGUUUUUCAGUGUCAUAUGUGCAGAUAUGUGCAAAAGGGCCGGAGAGGAAAGGAUCGACGCAGCCUCUUACUCGUUAAUGCCACACAUUCAAGAAAGAGAGAUCAAGCAUGAAGAGAACAGUCGAUAAGACCAGGCUCUAACAGGAGAACAGUCUAAAGGUGUAUGUUCUAACCCAAGGAACAAUGGCCACCAGUGAGAAACAAAAGAAUAGACCACCAGUGGCUGCAAAACAUUCAUUCUAUUGCCUCUCCCUCGCAACCCCAUCACUGUUUCAAAAAAAAAGAAAAAAAUGUAUAUAUAUAUAUAACGUUUCUAUCUAUAUAUAUAUAUACACGCCACUGGGAGGGCUGAGCAAGGAGUUGGUACCAAAUUUUGAGGAGUAAGAAGGGGAAGUCAAGAACUUAAGAACAGUCCCAC